UACAGAGGGGGCAAGCGUUAUUCGGAAUUAUUGGGCGUAAAGGGCGCGUAGGCGGCUUUGCAAGUGACGGGUGAAAUCCCUCGGCUUAACCGAGGAACUGCCUGUCAAACUGCAUGGCUUGAGACCGGGAGAGGUGAGUGGAAUUCCUGGUGUAGCGGUGAAAUGCGCAGAUAUCAGGAAGAACACCAAUGGCGAAAGCAGCUCUCUGGGACGGUACUGACGCUGAGGAGCGAAAGCGUGGGGAGCGAACAGG
rnacentral:rRNA from 1 species